UUUCGCAAUGCCCGAAAGGGUGACGAAGCGACGCCGCGUGAGUGAGGAAGGCCUUCGGGUUGUAAAGCUCUGUCAGGAGUUAAGAAAUAUAAGUGUGUUAAUACCACAUUUAUUUGACGAAGGCUCCAAAAGAAGCCACGGCUAACUCUGUGCCAGCAGCCGCGGUAAUACAGAGGUGGCAAGCGUUGUUCGGAAUUAUUGGGCGUAAAGAGCACGUAGGUGGGUUUGUAAGUCAGAUGUGAAAGCCUUCUGUUCAACGGAAGAAUUGCAUCUGAAACUGCGAGUCUUGAGUGUAGGAGGGGAGAAUGGAACUUCUGGUGGAGCGGUGAAAUGCGUAGAUAUCAGAAGGAACGCCGGCGGCGAAAGCGAUUCUCUGGCCUAUUACUGACACUCAGUGUGCGAAAGCUAGGGGAGCAAACGGGAUUAGAUACCCCGGUAGUCCUAGCUGUAAACGAUGGGCACUAAGUAGAGGGGUUUUA
rnacentral:rRNA from 1 species